rnacentral:rRNA from 1 species
UACGAAGGGGGCUAGCGUUGCUCGGAAUGAUUGGGCGUAAAGCGCGCGCAGGCGGCCUCGCGCGCCCGACGUGAAAGCCCCCGGCUUAACCGGGGAGGGUCGUUGGGGACGGCGGGGCUUGAGGGCGGGAGAGGUCGGUGGAAUUCCCGGUGUAGUGGUGAAAUGCGUAGAGAUCGGGAGGAACACCUGUGGCGAAGGCGGCCGACUGGGCCGACCCUGACGCUGAGGCGCGAAGGCGUGGGGAGCGAACGGG